rnacentral:rRNA from 1 species
GAGGCCUGCCUGCCCAGUGACAAACGUUCAACGGCCGCGGUAUCCUGACCGUGCAAAGGUAGCAUAAUCACUUGUUCCUUAAUUGGGGACUGGAAUGAAUGGCCUCACGAGGAUUCAACUGUCUCUUACCUCUAAUCAGUGAAAUUGACCUCCCCGUGAAGAGGCGGGGAUACAACAACAAGACGAGAAGACCCUAUGGAGCUUUAAUUUUCUGUCUUAACUACUAAAUAACUAAUCCUACUGGGAUAAAAAAAAAGAGAAAUAAGUCAGUAAUUUCGGUUGGGGUGACCUCGGAGAAUAAGACAACCUCCGAAUGAUUUUAACCAAGACAAACAAGUCAAAGUAUUAAAAAUCAAAUUGACCCAAUUCAUUUGAUCAACGGACCAAGUUACCCUAGGGAUAACAGCGCAAUCCUAUUCAAGAGUCCAUAUCGACAAUUAGGGUUUACGACCUCGAUGUUGGAUCAGGACAUCCCAAUGGUGCAGCAGCUAUUAAUGGUUCGUUUGUUCAACGAUUAAAGUCCUACGUGAUCUG